GCGACGAUGGGGUGGGAGGGACAAGAGAACUCCUGUGACCCCUCUGCUGGUUAUUUCUGCCUCUCCAUCCCCGCAAACUAGUAAUGAAGCCCGAUUCCUUAAGCCCGUCUUCCAUCAUGCCCUCCCUACAACUCUCAGCUUCGCAGAAGGCGAGCACAAGGUUCCUAAGGAUCUCAGAUAAAGUCACAACAUGAGGGUAGGGGGCAUUCUCCAACUUAGCCCCAACACAGACUGCUUUCCCCUCACUCUCUUCCCCUAAAACCCGCCCCAAUGUAAAGCGAAAACCCCUAAUCUGUGCCGCUGGAAAAUUACAGCAAAAGUCAAAAGUU